CACAUAACCUCCUUACGACCACAAAGUCUGAUAUAAGUCGGUAGAUUUUAGCUUGUACUGACUAUCCGACUUUGUGGUCUUAAAGGAAAAUUGGUUCCGAGACGUGCUAUUUUAUCUCAUGUCGGCAAAAAAAAAUUAUGGGAGAAAAAUAAAUUGUUGAAAUAUUUCUGAAAUGACUGGAAAUGUUUCACCUUUUAACUGAUUUUUGAAUGAUUUCAUCAGCUUCGAUUUUUUUUCCCAAUUCGUUCAGUUGCCUUUUUGAUUUAUCGAAGAAUGCUUUGACAAAUUUUGCUUCGUCAAUUGACAAUUGUAGGCGUGCUUUGGUGCAUAUUGCGUGGUUGAAAUGUCACACGAAAAUUACGCACGUUACUGGAAAAAGAGUGGCAUUUUGUAUAGAAGGAAAAGGCAAUUAGCAGCACUCAGAGAACAGUGCGAUUCUGUCGGAGUGUCAACCUUUGACCACACUGUUCAUGGGAAGUUUUAGUCCAUCUUCUAUUUGUCCUCUAGGAUUAGAUGAAAUUGUGAUUCAUGUGCUGAUAUUCUCAUUAAUUUUUAGAUGCGGUUGAAUCUGCCAUCGACGAUACAUCUGCCAUCGACGUAGAAGACCAUAUCGCUUCUUCUUCUGGUUCUAGUCGGUGAAAAUUACCAUGAAAUGUAGGUAUUGUUUUUUAUUCUUUCGACGGUGUCUUGCCCGCGCAACGUGUGUAAGAAGGAGAAAAAGCAUAGCUUCGAUGUGUUCGAUUGUUGUGUCAAAAAACUCAUCGAAAGUCAACGAAUAAAAGUCUAAAAAAAAUUGAACGAAUAA